AACGGCAGCGCGGGCUUCGGCCUGGCGGCGAGUGGCGAACGGGUGAGUAAUAUAUCGGAACGUACCCAAGAGUGGGGGAUAACGUAGCGAAAGUUACGCUAAUACCGCAUACGAUCUAAGGAUGAAAGCAGGGGAUCGCAAGACCUUGUGCUCCUGGAGCGGCCGAUAUCUGAUUAGCUAGUUGGUGGGGUAAAGGCCCACCAAGGCAACGAUCAGUAGCUGGUCUGAGAGGACGACCAGCCACACUGGAACUGAGACACGGUCCAGACUCCUACGGGAGGCAGCAGUGGGGAAUUUUGGACAAUGGGGGCAACCCUGAUCCAGCAAUGCCGCGUGAGUGAAGAAGGCCUUCGGGUUGUAAAGCUCUUUUGUCAGGGAAGAAAAGGCUGUGGCUAAUAUCCACAACUGCUGACGGUACCUGAAGAAUAAGCACCGGCUAACUACGUGCCAGCAGCCGCGGUAAUACGUAGGGUGCAAGCGUUAAUCGGAAUUACUGGGCGUAAAGCGUGCGCAGGCGGUUUCGUAAGUCUGUCGUGAAAUCCCCGGGCUUAACCUGGGAAUGGCGAUGGAGACUGCGAGGCUAGAGUUUGGCAGAGGGGGGUAGAAUUCCACGUGUAGCAGUGAAAUGCGUAGAGAUGUGGAGGAACACCGAUGGCGAA
rnacentral:rRNA from 1 species